GAAAUCCUUGGGCUGGCUGACAUCGGAGUGUGACUGGAGAGACGCAGGAACCAUAGUGGCACCUGCAUCAGCUAAGGACAAGGGAAACAGUCGAUGUAGUCCCGGGGGCAGCUGGAGUCCAGAGUCAGGUGGUGGAACUGCACCUUCUCCCGGAUGUGGUCCUUCAGCUUCUGGCAGUCAGCCAGGACUUUCUGCUCCAGGAAAGCCGCAUCGCUGUAGCUGUAGCGGCUGCCGAAGACCACGGAGCAGAUCACAUUGGCAACUGCGUAUCUGAACAUGAUCAUUGGCUCAAAGGCAUUGCCUGCAGCCACAAGAGGGCCAGCAAGGAUAGGACCACGUCACCUCUGAGCUUUGCCAGCAGCUCUACCAGGUGCUGAGCUUCCUGCUGCACCUUCUG